CCUACGGGCGGCAGCAGUGAGGAAUAUUGGUCAAUGGACGAGAGUCUGAACCAGCAAAGUAGCGUGAAGGAUGACUGCCCUCUGGGUUGUAAACUUCUUUUAUAUGGGAAUAAAACGUUACACGAGUUGGAUUUUGUAUGUACCAUAUGUAUAAGGAUCGGCUAACUCCGUGACAGCGGCCGCGAUAAUACGGAGGAUCCGCGGGUGAUCCGGAUUUCUUGGGUUUAAGGGGAGCUUAGUGGGAUUGUUAAGUCAGUUGUGAACGUCUGCGGCUCAACCGUAAAAUUGCCGUUGAAACUGGCAGUCUUGAGUACAGUAGAGGUUAGCGGAAUUCGUGGUGUAGCGGUGAAAUGCGUAGAUAUCACGAAGAACUCCGAUUGCGAAGGCAGUUCACUGGACUGCAACUGACACUGAGGCUCGAAAGUGUGGGUAUCAAACAGGAUUAGAUACCCGGGUAGUC
rnacentral:rRNA from 1 species